rnacentral:misc_RNA from 1 species
CAAACCCUCAAGCUUCUGCUUGGUAUUGGGCUCUCGUCUGUCAAAAGACGUACCCGAAACUCGUAGGCAGUGGCGCCCAGCUCCUUUGCGUAGUUAAACAUUCCGCUCUGGAUCGUUGGGUACUGCUCGCCCAGUAACUAUUUUACUAUCUAUG